CAAGAGCAACACCUGCCAGGCUGAGCAGUGAAGGACAGACUCUCCAGUGAUGGUAGGUAGUCCAGUUCUGAGUAUUUUGUUUCAUGGAAUAGUCAGGAGCUACUCAGGCAGCUGGAGACAUAAAGAGAAAUCAACCCAACAAGAGCAGCCCUGCACAGCACCAUGAUGGAGUGGGGAAGAUGAACGGUAUUUGAAGACCGUGGUUCCAACAAGGUCACCAAUUCAGUGCAGCCGGCCCUAAGGAAUCCAAGUCAAAGCAGUGCUUCCCAGUGCAGAGUCCAGACGUUCUCAUACAACCCAGUAUCAUCUAAGAUCCAGCUUUACAUGAGGACCUUUGUUCAUGUCAUUUGAAGUAACCAACAUCUACGUGAAAAACACAAGAGGCAAGACAUCCCAAAUUUUGUUCACUCAGUCAUCAUCUUUCCAUUUUAAUGUGAAUUACUCUUUACACUAGUACUUAUGUAUUUUGAGAAGGCAGUAAAAACUAGAUGUUUGGUUUAACUAUCAAGUGGGAAAAAACAGAAGUGGACAUAUGAAUAAUUGUGAC
rnacentral:lncRNA from 1 species